rnacentral:rRNA from 1 species
GACGAACGCUGGCGGCGUGCUUAACACAUGCAAGUCGAACGGAAAGGCCUGCUUUCCCUUGUGGUUUGCGGGUACUCGAGUGGCGAACGGGUGAGUAACACGUGAGUGAUCUGCCCCCAACUUGGGUAUAAGCCUGGGAAACUGGGUCUAAUUCCCGAUAGGACUGCAGGGUGGUGCCUGUGGUGGAAAACGAUUUUCUAGUGGUUGGGGAUGAGCUCGCGGCCUAUCAGCUUGUUGGUGGGGUAAUGGCCUACCAAGGCGGCGACGGGUAGCCGGCCUGAGAGGGUGGACGGCCACAUUGGGACUGGGAUACGGCCCAGACUCCUACGGGAGGCAGCGGUGGGGAAUAUUACACAAUGGGCGGAAGCCUGAUGCAGCGACGCCGCGUGGGGGAUGACGGCCUUCGGGUUGUAAACUCCUUUCGACCGCGAGGAAGCCACCUGGUUGGAAGGGUGGUGACGGUAGUGGUAGAAGAAGCACCGGCUAACUACGUG